rnacentral:rRNA from 1 species
UACGGAGGGGGCAAGCGUUGUUCGGAAUCACUGGGUGUAAAGGGUGCGUAGGCGGUCCGUUAAGUCUGAUGUGAAAGCCCUGGGCUCAACUCAGGAAUUGCAUUGGAAACUGGCGGGCUAGAGUACGGGAGAGGGAAGCGGAAUUCCUGGUGUAGCGGUGAAAUGCGUAGAUACCAGGAGGAACACCGGUGGCGAAGGCGGUUUCCUGGCCCAGUACUGACGCUGAGGCACGAAAGCGUGGGGAGCGAACGGG